rnacentral:lncRNA from 1 species
CCCCCCUUGCUCUCUCUCCUGCUCCACCAUGGGAGAUGUGUUUGCUUCCCCUUCACCUUCUGCCGUGAUUGUAAUCUUCCUGAGGCUUCUCAGUUAUGCUUCCUGAUAAGCCUGUGGAACUAUGGAGCAUUUGGCCAGAGUGAUCUUUCUGAAAUGGAAGACUCAUGUAUUGUUCCUGUGAGUCAGAUGGGAAGCUGAUGGAAAGUCUUCAGCAGAGAAAAAUCCAAAGUGACUGCAAUGAUUUACGUGACUCUACAGAUCCUGGCCCCUUGAACAUCCUGGUCUAUAGUGAUCAUCUGUCCCCCUACAUUUCUGGAGGAAUAAAAAAAUUUACUUGUCUAUUAUCAUCUGUGACUUUGUAUGUGCGAAAGAGGUUGUUGGUUAACUAAAUAUGUCCUGGGGUCAGAUUGCCUGGGAUCAAAUCUUGGCUUAGCCAUUUAUAAGUUGAGUGACCUUGUGCAAGUGACAUAGCUCACCUGCCAUUCCUUCACCUGUCAGAGAGAAUAGGACUAGUGCCCAUUGCAUUCAUUUGCUGCAUGACUUAAAUGAGUUACAUUCAUCAAAGCAUCAUCCCUGGCACAUGUAAGUGCUCAGUCAACGUUUGCACUGAUUUUUAUCACCUACAUACAUUGUGUCCUCAGCUAGAUCAAAAGCUCUGUUCUAUGUGCCAUAACAUCUGGCAGAGUCUUCCACACAGCAGGUGCUCAAUAACUCUAUUGACUUUUGGUAAAAUUAUUUCCCAAAA